rnacentral:tRNA from 1 species
GGCAGUGUAGUAUAAUGAUUUAGGAGCUAGUCUUGUAACUUGAAGGUUGCAGGUUCGAUUCCUGCCGUUGUAC